AGUGAACGCUGGCGGUAGGCCUAACACAUGCAAGUCGAACGGCAGCACAGUAAGAGCUUGCUCUUACGGGUGGCGAGUGGCGGACGGGUGAGGAAUACAUCGGAAUCUACUUUUUCGUGGGGGAUAACGUAGGGAAACUUACGCUAAUACCGCAUACGACCUACGGGUGAAAGCAGGGGAUCUUCGGACCUUUCGCGAUUGAAUGAGCCGAUGUCGGAUUAGCUAGUUGGCGGGGUAAAGGCCCACCAAGGCGACGAUCCGUAGCUGGUCUGAGAGGAUGAUCAGCCACACUGGAACUGAGACACGGUCCAGACUCCUACGGGAGGCAGCAGUGGGGAAUAUUGGACAAUGGGCGCAAGCCUGAUCCAGCCAUACCGCGUGAGUGAAGAAGGCCUUCGGGUUGUAAAGCCCUUUUGUUGGGAAAGAAAAACAGCAGGUUAAUACCCCGCUGUUCUGACGGUACCCAAAGAAUAAGCACCGGCUAACUUCGUG
rnacentral:rRNA from 1 species